GUGCUUGCUUUGGCAGUGCAUAUAUUAAAACUGGAAUGAUACAGAGAAAAUUAGCAUGAUCCCUGUGCAAAAAUGACAUUGAAAUUAGUGAAGUCUUCUGUAUUUUU
rnacentral:snRNA from 1 species